AUUGAACGCUGGCGGCAGGCUUAACACAUGCAAGUCGAGCGGGCGAGGUUGCUUCGGUAACUGAGCUAGCGGCGGACGGGUGAGUAAAGCUUAGGAAUCUGCCUAUUAGUGGGGGACAACAUUCCGAAAGGGAUGCUAAUACCGCAUACGUCCUACGGGAGGAAGCAGGGGAUCACUUGUGACCUUGCGCUAAUAGAUGAGCCUAAGUCGGCUUAGCUAGUUGGUGGGGUAAAGGCCUACCAAGGCGACGAUCUGUAGCGGGUCUGAGAGGAUGAUCCGCCACACUGGGACUGAGACACGGCCCAGACUCCUACGGGAGGCAGCAGUGGGGAAUAUUGGACAAUGGGGGGAACCCUGAUCCAGCCAUGCCGCGUGUGUGAAGAAGGCCUUUUGGUUGUAAAGCACUUUAAGCGAGGAGGAGGCUUACCUGGUUAAUACCUGGGAUAAGUGGACGUUACUCGCAGAAUAAGCACCGGCUAACUCUGUGCCAGCCGCCGAAGUAACAC
rnacentral:rRNA from 1 species